rnacentral:rRNA from 1 species
UACGUAGGGUGCGAGCGUUAAUCGGAAUUACUGGGCGUAAAGCGUGCGCAGGCGGUUUUGUAAGCCAGGUGUGAAAUCCCCGGGCUCAACCUGGGAAUGGCAUUUGAUACUGCGGUGCUUGAGGACUGGAGAGGAGACUGGAAUUUACGGUGUAGCAGUGAAAUGCGUAGAGAUCGUAAGGAAGACCAGUGGCGAAGGCGGGUCUCUGGACAGUUCCUGACACUGAGGCACGAAGGCCAGGGGAGCAAACGGG